UAGCUCAGUUGGCAGAGUGCCUGCCUGGCAUGCACAAGGCCCUGGGUUCAAUUCCCAG
rnacentral:tRNA from 1 species